rnacentral:lncRNA from 1 species
UAAGCCCUUGCAGCAUCGAUAUCACUCUCGAAAGUGCCUAACCAAAUCCUGGAUCCUUUCUUGGCCGGAUCUCGAAUCUCUGCUGCAAAUUUGCCCCAUGGUCUUCUUCUCACGCCUCUGUAAUGUCUCGUCUCUUCAAACCUCUUUGUUUUUUUUCGGUUCGAGACAGUCGCAACCUGAGGUGAUGUUGUUGUUGAUGAUGAUGAUGAUUCUGCUUCCACUUGCAGAAACUCUUGGACGUAGGAAUCUAGAUCAAGGACAGGGGAACUAGGUUCCAGCUUAGGAACUGGGUUAAAGGGUUCUAGAGACCAGAGUCCUGAGACAAAAGCAGUAUCAUCAAAGACAAAAUCUUGAAUGAAAUCAUCAGGG